CUAGGAAUUUCUGCAUCGGUUCUCUAAUUGAUUGCAUCAGAAGCUGCUUUUAGUGCAGGUGGAAGAGUAGUUAGUAAAAAACGAUGCAACUUAGCGCCAGAUGUUAUUGAAGUAGGGAUAUGUGUAAAAGAUUGGGAAA